GAUUUGGAGAUAGCACGCGACCUUAAACGCUAGUUUUCGGUGACAGUCUCGACUCUCUUUCUCUCUCUUGGAUCGAGGGGUCGAGUUGAAUAUCUAUCUAUCGCUCUCUUAUCUCUCUCUCUCUCUCGAACCGCCGUCGCCGCCUUUUCUCUUUCUCAUCGGGUUCCCCUCGCUGUAUCUUUUAAAUCACUAAUCGUUCGAGGGAGUUUCGAGCUGAGUACUUCAAUAAUCGAGGGUCUGAAAUUGAUUGUGUUGCUACUUUGUUGCUUCCUUUGGUUUUUGCUGCUAGAUCUGACGUUUGUUUCGAAUUGAAUUUUGGGUUUUGUUUUUUUAUAAAAAAUUGAAAAGAAUUGGCUGGUUUAGGGUGUAAUAAAGAGGUGAAUAGGGAUUUGAAUUGGGAUUAGGAUUUUAUAUUGUGAAGCUUGCUUCCUUUGUUGUAAUAUAUGGCGGCUGGGAGACAUGGAGGUUAUCGCGAUAACGAAUUUCGGGGACGUGAGUCUGAUGUUGAAUAUUCAAGAAAGGAGUUUGCUUAUUCUAAAGAGGAGUAUGAUAGGAUUGGGAAUGGUAAUCGUCAAAAUGAACGAGGUAGAGUUCGUGAUAUGAGAGAUAGGGGUAGGCUUAGACAAAAAGAUAUUAAGGAGAGAGAAGUGGCAAAUGGUGGGUAUCGUUCCUCUUCUAGUAGGAGCGAUUCGGGUAGUAGUGGUGGCACUGGUGGUGCUCACGGACCCCGGAGAUGUGGGUUUACUGCUAGAACCAUGGAUAGGGAGCCUGGUGAAUUGUCUAGUGAGAGUGGAUCAGAUGAUGUAAUAGAGUCCGAAUCACAGGUUAACAAAGAUGGUGAGGUUUCAAAGGGAAUUGAAAAUGGGAUUCAGACUCCUGUGGAGAAGAAGAGGAAGUUUUCUCCUAUAGUUUGGGAUAGGGAUGAUAAACAACUGACUAAUUCUUCAAAAAGUAGGAUUUCUACAGCAAUGACAACUCUCCCUCCACCACCCCCCCUCCCUAGGGCAUAUCGUCAGUCACCUAAUGUUAUUCCAGAUGGAGGUGUAGAGAUAUCUCCAUCUAAGAGUAGUAAAAGCCAGCAAUUCCAUUCAUCUUCUCCAGUCAACAGUUCAGUGGCUAAAGGGUCAGGUAGAUCUUCUGAGUCUGUGUCUCCAGUAGAAUUGGCUUCUUUACCUUUAGAGGAGCAUCGAUUGGUUAGUGACCAUGAUAAUGAAGCUGAGCUGAUAGAUGAUGAGGAUUAUGUGCCAACGCGGAAUAUAUCGUCUUCUAGAUGGGCUGCUGGAAAUAAUUCUCCAGUCGAUGAAGGUGAAAUUGUAGAGGAUCAGGAAAUGCCUAAAAGAAGAAGAAAGAUGCCUUAUUUGGAGGCACUGGAUUUCAGAGCACGCAAUAGGUCAAUUACUCCUGACUUUGGAGACUUUAAGAGAGAAGGUUCAGAUGGAGUUAGAGGGAGGUCUGUUGACUCUGAUGAGCGAGACACUCAUGCUAGGUCAUCGAGUAGGGAUGCUAACUCUGGUAAUGGUACUGAUAAGGAUGACUACAUGGAGAUCGAUGAUAGACAUGAUGAAAAUGACGGUAGCAAUAGCCAUUCUGAUGCAGAUUCUGAGAAUGAUAAUGGUUCUCAUGAAACACCAGAAUCUGCUGGUCCUCCUCAAAGAAGUAUAAACAUGCUUCAAGGCUGCAGAAGUGUAGAUGAGUUUGAGAGACUAAAUAAGAUAGAUGAAGGCACUUAUGGAGUUGUAUAUAGAGCUAAAGACAAGAAAACUGGGGAAAUUGUAGCAUUGAAGAAGGUGAAAAUGGAGAAAGAACGAGAAGGUUUUCCGUUAACAUCUUUGAGGGAAAUAAACAUUCUUCUUUCUUUUCAUCACCCUUCAAUUGUUGAUGUAAAAGAAGUUGUGGUAGGCAGCAAUCUUGAUAGCAUUUUUAUGGUGAUGGAAUAUAUGGAGCAUGAUCUUAGGGGUCUCAUGGAAUCGAUGAAGCAGCCAUUUAGUCAAAGUGAAGUUAAAUGCUUAAUGCUCCAGUUGUUGGCUGGUGUCAAGUAUCUCCACGAUAAUUGGGUCCUUCAUCGAGAUUUAAAGACAUCAAAUUUGCUUUUAAAUAAUCGGGGUGAGUUAAAGAUAUGUGACUUUGGGUUGGCUCGUCAAUAUGGGAGUCCAUUGAAACCAUAUACUCAUUUGGUGGUCACUCUUUGGUACAGGGCGCCUGAACUUCUUUUGGGAGCCAAACAAUAUUCAACUGCAAUUGAUAUGUGGUCGUUAGGUUGUAUUAUGGCUGAACUAUUAUCAAAGGAACCGCUUUUCAAUGGGAAAACAGAAUUUGAUCAACUUGACAAGAUUUUCCGAACUCUUGGUACACCAAAUGAGUCAAUCUGGCCUGGGUUCUCCAAGUUGCCUGGUGUUAAGGUCAACUUUGUUAAGCAUCAGCUUCCAGCUGGGUGAUUCUGGUCUGGGUAUCUGGCCUCAUUGGCGACGCAGUUUCGAAAUUCAUUUUUUCUUUGUACUAAAUGGCUGACCUGUUCCUUUCAGGUAUAACCUACUGCGUAAGAAAUUCCCGGCAACAUCUUUCACUGGAUCACCAGUUCUUUCAGAUUCUGGAUUUGAUUUGUUGAACAAACUACUAACCUAUGACCCUGAGAAGAGAAUUACUGCCGAAGAUGCUCUAAACCAUGAGUGGUUUCGUGAAGUUCCUCUUCCCAAAUCCAAAGAUUUUAUGCCUACUUUUCCUGCUCAGCAUGCUCAAGACAGGCGUUUGCGAAGAAUAUUGAAGAGCCCAGAUCCUCUAGAAGAGCAGCGCAGAAAGGAGCUGCAACAAGGGGAGCUAGGUACCGGCGGUUUGUUUGGUUAACAGGCCUUGGCUGUUAAUCUCUGUACUCUAGUUGCCACAUGACUGACACAGGAUGAAGUUGAGGUGAGGGAUAUCCAUUGGAAGGAAGUUGCGAAAAUUGUUUCUCAGACGAUCAUUCAUACUUUUUUUAGCAGGACUUUGUGGUGAUUUGGGUGGAGAAAUUAUUUGUCUCCUGCCACCCAGCUAAUUUGCAGGUUAACUUUGUCCUCCAGCUUUCAUCAACAUAUAGAAAUGCAUCUGUGACACUGAUUGCAUUGCAAGGUGUGGCAUAAUGGCCUUUCAUCUUAAAAUAUCAGUUUCAGCUGGAACUUUUGUUGGUGUGAAGUGGAGGAGACGUUCUUAGCUUUUCAUUGAUGAAGAAAUAGACAGUAACCAUAGAAUGCUGAAGUAUCAAAGCAAGCAGGUUCAGGAGGUUACCUGCAUACUGGAUUUUAUAGAACUUUCAAUUAGUUGUCUUCAGGCUCAAUAGAGGUACUAUACAUACCUUGGUUUGUUCUGAUGCGUGUUUAUUUAAUUGAUUUCCCUGUGCUUAACUUUUAGUGCUGGGAUCUUGAGCUUGAGCUUUCUUAUAUACUGUUGUGGCAUAUGUUCGUAACUUUGAAAAUGAAUUGGAUAGUUCUCAUGCUUUGUUGGGUGCUUUUCAAGGUAUCCUGGGAAUUUAGUGUUGAUAUGCUAAAUUCUUCAACCCUUUAUUUGUUUACUAUCUCUAGAUAGCUUUACUUUAUACAUGGAUCCAGAUAGGAUGAAUCAUUUUUUAUAGUGAGGGUAGGGGAUGUGGCUGGUUAAGACAUUUUAUUAUUAAUUAUAUUGGAUCGUAUUAUUUGUGAUCCGCGGGCAGAACUCUGAUGCCUUGAAGCAAUUAAUUGAAAGAAAGUUCAGAUGUGGUUAAUGAGUGUAAGAUGCGGAUGCAAACAAAUGAUCAUGCAAAUAUUUUUCCCACUAUCAUUUUUGAAGAGAUGCUUUUGAUUUUGAAUUAGUAAUAAAUUGACAGUUCAACGGGAAAUCCUUUAGUAGCUGAAAUAAACAGGGUUUGGCCAGCUUGCUCUGAAAAAUUGAUGUAUAUGCACUGAGCAUAAAUCUUGACUCUUGGAAAUUGGUCAACAUACUAAAGGCUUGAAGCUGUUGUUGGAUGUAUUUAUAACUUGAAUGUUUCAACCUGUUGAAAAGGACAUGGCCUGAUUGUCAUCGUUGGAGGUAAUGCUCUGAUUUUAUAAGACCAAACAACAUCCAUAGCUUGCCACCAAAUUUGUGCAGUUUGUCAGCAUUUUGCAAUUGCAUAUAGAUAUAUUUUGGCUGUGUGUUAUCUGUAAUUUUUAUCAUGGCCAUUCAAGCUCCAUAUCCAGGACAUGGAUCGUAAAGAUUUUUUUUUUUUUGGUUGGGUUAUAUCAUGUUAGUAACUUAUGUUUGUACUUUUAAUUUAUUUGAGCUCUGUUUUGAUGAUGAGAAAUAUGAGUGCAAAAAGCCUGAAGUUAUUGGAGACUAUUCAUGAAAUUAAGCUUCCAAAGUUCAUUAAUGGUUGCGGGGAAAUUAUAGUGGAGUUGUCACCUUUUUUCAGAAGGUGCAAUUGUCUAAAUGUAGCUGGCAAAGGAUGCAUCGAUGCUCUUUUUACGAUAUUAAAUAAUAAUGCCAUUUCCAUAGUUGCUGUUGAAUGAAUCAACAUCUACAAUGUAUUCUCUUCCUAGCCUUGCAAUAUAUUCUUAUUUAUAGUUACAA